GGCGACCGAAAUAACAAUCUCAAAGAUUAAUUGAACUAAGUGAUGGAAGUUCUCUCUUAUCGGGUGGUAUCCCAGGGGCAUAAGCCUAUCAUGGGUUGAUCCCUAUUUAUGUGUUUAUGGGUGGUAUCCCAGGGGCAUAAGCCUAUCAUGGGUCGAUCCCAGUUGAUAUGUACUGGAGGCAGCCUAAUGGUCACAGUACAAUACAGUAAUGAUUAUGAAGAUG
rnacentral:lncRNA from 1 species